rnacentral:rRNA from 1 species
GACGAACGCUGGCGGCGUGCCUAAUACAUGCAAGUCGAACGCACUCUCGUUUAGAUUGAAGGAGCUUGCUCCUGAUUGAUAAACAUUUGAGUGAGUGGCGGACGGGUGAGUAACACGUGGGUAACCUGCCCUAAAGUGGGGGAUAACAUUUGGAAACAGAUGCUAAUACCGCAUAAAACCUAAACACCGCAUGGUGUAGGGUUGAAAGAUGGUUUCGGCUAUCACUUUAGGAUGGACCCGCGGUGCAUUAGUUAGUUGGUGAGGUAAAGGCUCACCAAGACCGUGAUGCAUAGCCGACCUGAGAGGGUAAUCGGCCACACUGGGACUGAGACACGGCCCAGACUCCUACGGGAGGCAGCAGUAGGGAAUCUUCCACAAUGGACGAAAGUCUGAUGGAGCAACGCCGCGUGAGUGAAGAAGGUUUCGGAUCGUAAAACUCUGUUGUUGGAGAAGAAUGUAUCUGAUAGUAACUGAUCAGGUAGUGACGGUAU